rnacentral:rRNA from 1 species
UGGUGGAGUGAUUUGUCUGGUUAAUUCCGAUAACGAACGAGACGUUGAUCUGCUAACUACCGUGUUGAACGUGUUCUUCAACGGUUCUUAGAGAGACUGCUGUAGUUUAUACAGUGGAAGUUCGAUGCAAUAACA